GUCCACUAGUAUUACAGAUAAAAUUAUUUGCUUUAUCCAGAAACCGUUUAUCUUUGCAGAGUUAGUGAAAGACGCGUGUGUUGUCCUGAAAGGCGGAAGAUGAAUCGCUCGCUGUAUUUUGAAAUCAACACUGGCAUUUAUAUGACGAAACAUACAUACGCGCUAUCGAUCAUAAAUAUUGAUACCAAAUACAUAUGCUACAAAUACGUGAUACAAAUGCACGUACAAGGUAAAUAUCUUAAAAUUUCUGACUAAUAGUGUAUGUCAUAGAGGUUUGCUUCUUAGCGUUUCGUUAAUAUGUUAAAAGAAAUUACGAUUGACAAACCAAUAUAGCGUAGUUUCUUUAUAGAUCUCGAAAAUUGAUUUAAUACGAGAGAUUAACGAUAAAUCGGUCGAUAUUAAAAUCGAUCAUUCAUUGUCAAAUUUUAUUCCAUCCCUUAUACCGUAAUCAUAUGUGUAUGUAUCAUAUGUAUGUACGUACAAGAGAUUUUAGAUUAGAUUUUCAUCAUCACGCGAUCAAACGAAAUUUUCUUGUGCUAAUGAAUGAGGCGUCACAUUGUGAAAUAAUCGGAACCGAAUGAGAAGUAUCUGUGAUUCAUUAUUUGAUACGACCGAUAGUAUAUAAUAAUUACGUACUUAUCAGUCAAUCCCAUGGUUAUCUAACUUACACAACUUGAAACUUUGAAGUCUGUUGUAAGGACAAAAUUUCAAGGACAACGGGUAAAAAAUGUUCCAUGUCGAUAAAAACACUUAUGCAACGCUUGCCAAAUAGUUUUUCAGUUACGAAUAUCUUUAACAAAUACAUAUCUUACACGAGCAAAAGUAAUCGUAACCCGUGUCUAUCGGCAUUUAUGCAAGACAACAUUUUUUCUUGCUUUGCAACAUAGUGGCAAAAAAAUUUGAUAGUCGAAAUUGAGACAAGUGAACUUCAAACUUUGUCGAUUGCAAUGAAACAAAGGGAAUGCAAAAAACAACAGACGAGUCAAUUAAAUUCUUCUCUUUAAACGGUAUUUCGUCGCUAGAUUACGAGUGUUUAUGUAGAUUUAUACUCUUAUGGAAUUUUUGGCCCGAGAUUUCUUUCACUCGAUACUGCGGUCAGCAAUAAUCGAAGAGUACUUACAGAAGACACCGUGAAUGGUAAAACUGAAGAAUUUUCUUUUUCUUACCGAAGAAUGUUCUAACAUACCAUACCAUAGUAUAGCAUUUAGGCGCAAUUAGCCUCUCUAAAUAGUUAUCAAUAAUUUUAGAAGAUGGUAUCAGUGGCAAGUCCAACGUCGCCUCUGUAGUGUAAAGAGAAAUAUAAGUGUCAGCCAAUAAUAAUAAUUGUUUCUAGGCUUUUGUCUGUACUAUCUAUUUAAAUAAAUGGAACAUUGAGUUUUCUUUAAAACUAAGAAGUGACACGUACAGAGUUUCCUAUAUAUACACUUUCCUUUUUCAUGAAUUUGGAAUACAUUUUUAUUUUUCUGAAUUACUAACUUUGCGCUAUGAAAUUUUCUGUAAGUAUACAAAAAGCUGACAUCUAUUUAUUAUACAUAUUGUAUUAGAAGUAAUACGCAAAAGAUUCUCAGAAGCGCUAAAGAUUUUGACGUCAAGUAUUAACUACGUAUUAAGAUAAAUUUGUUUUAAAAUUUUUUCGGUCACGGUGAAGCAGAGAGGAUAGAGAUGGAAAUGAAGAAGGUCGAUUAAGCUGGUGUUAUUCCUCUUUUUCAACCAUACUUUAUUACAUUCUGUUAGAAAUAAUACACAGAAGAUUCUCAGGGGCGGCGAAGCUUUUCACGCCGAUCACGCACGAGGUGAGUUUGUCGUUCGAUCGAGAAAUCGAGGGCCCCGUGGAUCGUGUGGCGAACCGUCGUCUGCGACCCCCCGGAUGAAAACGAUCGCUCAUGCACAGUUAAAUCGAGAAUAUAUAUAUAUAUAUAAUAUAAUAUAUAUAUAAUCUUAAUUAAUAUUUGUAUUAAUGAGAGUCUGCGAGAGACCAUAAAUAUGUUUAUAUAUAUAUAUAUAUAUAGAGAAGGGCACGUCGAUUUCUUUUUCUUUGUCUCCCUUUAUCUUUCGUAUUUUCUUAGGAUCGCAGACUCGGUUGGCUCGAUUUGCGAUUAACGUUCGAGUAAGUAAAAUGCUUACGUAAAUGCGCCUAUUUGAAAAAACGAAUAAUGUCACAAAACGACGUGAGCGUUUAUCUUCGGUUUUUAGCCACUCUUAUAGAGCGUGUUUUUCACUCGGUUACGUUUUCUUUCUCGUCGUGCUUUUCACUGUAUAUCUCUCUUUCGUCUUGUUUGGAUUUAUCCAU